UCACACUACUGGAGCCCCCUCUUUUUAACAGAUGAAACGGAGGCACACAGAGGCUUGGGGCCUUAUCGCAGGUCACACGUCACGUCAGUGGAGCUGGGCUGGGGCAGGUGGCACCUGCAGGUAAAUUUCUAUGUGGUCUGCAAGCCCCGCAGGGACAUGGGUUUUAACCUAUAAGGAUAAUGCAGGUCAGCCAUGGAAAGUGACCGAGGGAAGAUGAGAGCCAGGAUGCAGAGUGCAGUGUGGAUUGGAGGGACGGAGACCAGAGUCUGGGUCUGGACUCGGCAGCAGGAGCUUGAUGAGUGGAAAUGCUUUCUGUGGGUGCUCCCACCAGCUGAGCUUUGGCAGGAAGACUCAGAGAAAACCUGUAAGGAAAAAAAAAAGUUCCUGCAAGAUGGAGGUCAAACUGGUUCCAGCAUGCUUCUGCUCCCAGGUGGCCUAGAGGUGGAAGCUAUUCGGAUGAAAACACUGUUCCACACUAAAUUCUCUCAGCUUGAAGUUACCCAAUUCCACAGGCAAGAGAAGCCUGACUCUUCACAGGCUGCACACUCCCUUUAAUUUGAGCAAGUGACCUAAGUUUUGCCUAUUCAUUGAUAUUUUGCCAAAUUCUAGUAUUUUAAGGAGUAUGACCUGAAACCAGACAAGUUGGCACAUGCAUGUAAUCUUAGCACUCAGGAGGCUGAGGCAAG